GAUGAACGCUGGCGGCGUGCCUAAUACAUGCAAGUCGAGCGAACAGAUGAGGAGCUUGCUCCUCUGACGUUAGCGGCGGACGGGUGAGUAACACGUGGAUAACCUACCUAUAAGACUGGGAUAACUUCGGGAAACCGGAGCUAAUACCGGAGAAUAUAUUGAACCGCAUGGUUCAAUAGUGAAAGACGGUUUUGCUGUCACUUAUAGAUGGAUCCGCGCCGCAUUAGCUAGUUGGUAAGGUAACGGCUUACCAAGGCAACGAUGCGUAGCCGACCUGAGAGGGUGAUCGGCCACACUGGAACUGAGACACGGUCCAGACUCCUACGGGAGGCAGCAGUAGGGAAUCUUCCGCAAUGGGCGAAAGCCUGACGGAGCCACGCCGCGUGAGUGAUGAAGGUCUUCGGAUCGUAAAACUCUGUUAUUAGGGAAGAACAAAUGUGUAAGUAACUAUGCACGUCUUGACGGUACCUAAUCAGAAAGCCACGGCUAACUACGUG
rnacentral:rRNA from 1 species